CGUGAGAUGUUGGGUUAAGUCCCGCAACGAGCGCAACCUUACCCUUAGUUGUUUUCCCGAAAGGAUUACCCUCUAAGGGGGACUGCCCCGGACACGGGAGGAAGUGGGGAUGACGUCAAGUCCGCAUGCUCCUUACGUCUAGGGCUACACACGUCCUACAAUGGGGUCGACAGUGGGAUGCAAAGCCGCGAGGUGGAGCCAAUCCCCAAACGGCCUCUCAGUUCGGAUAGUAGUCUGCAACUCGACUACUUGAAGUCGGAAUCGCUAGUAAUGGCGGAUCAGCAUGCCGCCGUGAAUACGUUCCCGGGUCUU
rnacentral:rRNA from 1 species